ACAUGCCUACAACAUAGCGUUAAUUCAUUGAAUCCCAUUAGAACUUUGUAGUUAAGUGCGCUCGGGCUAGAGUAGUAUUGGGAUGGGUGACUUCCAGGGAAGUCCUAAUAUUUUACAUGCC
rnacentral:rRNA from 1 species